AGAGUUUGAUCCUGGCUCAGGAUGAACGCUAGCUACAGGCUUAACACAUGCAAGUCGAGGGGCAGCGGUGGAGAGAGCUUGCUCUCUUCAGCCGGCGACCGGCGCACGGGUGAGUAACACGUAUGCAACCUGCCCUUGACACUGGGAUAACCCGGAGAAAUCCGGACUAAUACCGGGCGACACCUUCGGAGGGCAUCCUCCUUAGGUCGAAGGAAGCGAUUCCGGUCAAGGAUGGGCAUGCGGCGCAUUAGCUAGUUGGCGGGGUAACGGCCCACCAAGGCGACGAUGCGUAGGGGUUCUGAGAGGAAGGUCCCCCACAUUGGUACUGAGACACGGACCAAACUCCUACGGGAGGCAGCAGUGAGGAAUAUUGGUCAAUGGGCGCGAGCCUGAACCAGCCAAGUCGCGUGAGGGAAGACGGCCCUACGGGUUGUAAACCUCUUUUGUCGGGGAGCAAGGACUGCCACGAGUGGCAGGGCGAGAGUACCCGAAGAAAAAGCAUCGGCUAACUCCGUGCCAGCAGCCGCGGUAAUACGGAGGAUGCGAGCGUUAUCCGGAUUUAUUGGGUUUAAAGGGUGCGUAGGCGGAAGUUCAAGUCAGCGGUAAAAUCGAGGGGCUCAACCCCUUUAAGCCGUUGAAACUGGGUUUCUUGAGUGGGCGAGAAGUGUGCGGAAUGUGUGGUGUAGCGGUGAAAUGCAUAGAUAUCACACAGAACUCCGAUUGCGAAGGCAGCACACCGGCGCCCAACUGACGCUGAGGCACGAAAGCGUGGGGAUCAAACAGGAUUAGAUACCCUGGUAGUCCACGCAGUAAACGAUGAACACUAGGUGUGCGGGUCGAAUGAGAUCUGCGUGCCACAGCGAAAGCGUUAAGUGUUCCACCUGGGGAGUACGCCGGCAACGGUGAAACUCAAAGGAAUUGACG
rnacentral:rRNA from 1 species